CCUACGGGAGGCUGCAGUGAGGAAUAUUGGUCAAUGGUCGGGAGACUGAACCAGCCAAGCCGCGUGAGGGAUGAAGGUACAGAGUAUCGUAAACCUCUUUUGUCAGGGAACAAAGGCGGGGACGUGUCCCCGGAUGAGUGUACCUGAAGAAAAAACAUCGGCUAACUCCGUGCCAGCAGCCGCGGUAAUACGGAGGAUGCGAGCGUUAUCCGGAUUUAUUGGGUUUAAAGGGUGCGCAGGCGGUCUGUUAAGUCAGCGGUCAAAGCCCGGGGCUCAACCCCGGCCCGCCGUUGAAACUGGCAGUCGCGAGUUGGAGAGAAGUAUGCGGAAUGCGCGGUGUAGCGGUGAAAUGCAUAGAUAUCGCGCAGAACUCCGAUUGCGAAGGCAGCAUGCCGGCUCCACACUGACGCUGAGGCACGAAAGCGUGGGUAUCGAACAGGAUUAGAUACCCUGGUAGUC
rnacentral:rRNA from 1 species